rnacentral:rRNA from 1 species
AGAGUUUGAUCAUGGCUCAGGACGAACGCUGGCGGCGUGCUUAACACAUGCAAGUCGAACGGAAAGGCCCUUCGGGGUACUCGAGUGGCGAACGGGUGAGUAACACGUGGGUGAUCUGCCCUGCACUUUGGGAUAAGCCUGGGAAACUGGGUCUAAUACCGAAUAGGACCGCGCGCUUCAUGGUGUGUGGUGGAAAGCUUUUGCGGUGUGGGAUGGGCCCGCGGCCUAUCAGCUUGUUGGUGGGGUAAUGGCCUACCAAGGCGACGACGGGUAGCCGGCCUGAGAGGGUGACCGGCCACACUGGGACUGAGAUACGGCCCAGACUCCUACGGGAGGCAGCAGUGGGGAAUAUUGCACAAUGGGCGCAAGCCUGAUGCAGCGACGCCGCGUGAGGGAUGACGGCCUUCGGGUUGUAAACCUCUUUCACCAGGGACGAAGCGCAAGUGACGGUACCUGGAGAAGAAGCACCGGCCAACUACGUGCCAGCAGCCGCGGUAAUACGUAGGGUGCGAGCGUUGUCCGGAAUUACUGGGCGUAAAGAGCUCGUAAGUGGUUUGUCGCGUUGUUCGUGAAAACUCACAGCUUAACUGUGGGCGUGCGGGCGAUACGGGCAGACUAGAGUACUGCAGGGGAGACUGGAAUUCCUGGUGUAGCGGUGGAAUGCGCAGAUAUCAGGAGGAACACCGGUGGCGAAGGCGGGUCUCUGGGCAGUAACUGACGCUGAGGAGCGAAAGCGUGGGGAGCGAACAGGAUUAGAUACCCCGGUAGUCC